rnacentral:rRNA from 1 species
AUUGAACGCUGGCGGCAUGCUUUACACAUGCAAGUCGAACGGCAGCACGGGUGCUUGCACCUGGUGGCGAGUGGCGGACGGGUGAGUAAUACAUCGGAACGUAUCCUGAAGUGGGGGAUAACGCAUCGAAAGAUGUGCUAAUACCGCAUAUACUCUGAGGAGGAAAGUAGGGGAUCGAAAGACCUUAUGCUUUUGGAGCGGCCGAUGUCUGAUUAGCUAGUUGGUAAGGUAAUGGCUUACCAAGGCAACGAUCGGUAGCCGGCCUGAGAGGGCACACGGCCACACUGGCACUGAAACACGGGCCAGACUCCUACGGGAGGCAGCAGUGGGGAAUCUUGCGCAAUGGGCGGAAGCCUGACGCAGCAACGCCGCGUGGAGGAAGAU